rnacentral:misc_RNA from 1 species
UUUCCGUAGGUGAACCUGCGGAAGGAUCAUUAUUGAAUAAACCUGAUGUGGUUGUAGCUGGCCCUUUCGGGAGCAUGUGCACACCCGUCGUCUUUAUCUUUCCACCUGUGCACCUUUUGUAGACCUGGAUGUAACACUUUCCGAGGCAACUCGGUUGGGAGGAAUGCUGUCAGCUUUCCUUGAAUGUCCAGGCCUAUGUUUUCAUAUACCCCAAAGAAUGUAACAGAAUGUAUUAUUGGGCCUUGUGCCUAUAAACUAUAUACAACUUUCAGCAACGGAUCUCUUGGCUCUC